UACGGGGGGAGCAAGCGUUGUUCGGAAUCACUGGGCGUAAAGGGCGUACAGGCGGUUCGGUAAGUGGGAUGUGAAAUCCCUCGGCUCACCCGAGGACCUGCAUCCCAUACUGCUGAGCUUGAGUACAGGAGAGGGUGGGGGAAUUCCAGGUGUAGCGGUGAAAUGCGUAGAUAUCUGGAGGAACACCGGUGGCGAAGGCGCCCACCUGGCCUGCUACUGACGCUGACGCGCGAAAGCUAGGGGAGCAAACGGG
rnacentral:rRNA from 1 species